GAUGAACGCUGGCGGCGUGCCUAAUACAUGCAAGUCGAGCGAACAGACGAGGAGCUUGCUCCUCUGACGUUAGCGGCGGACGGGUGAGUAACACGUGGAUAACCUACCUAUAAGACUGGGAUAACUUCGGGAAACCGGAGCUAAUACCGGAUAAUAUAUUGAACCGCAUGGUUCAAUAGUGAAAGACGGUUUUGCUGUCACUUAUAGAUGGAUCCGCGCCGCAUUAGCUAGUUGGUAAGGUAACGGCUUACCAAGGCAACGAUGCGUAGCCGACCUGAGAGGGGGAUCGGCAACACGGAAACUGAGACACGGUCCAGACCCCUACGGGAGGAAGCAGUGGGGAAUCUUCCGCAAGGGGCAAAGGCCUGACGGAGCAACGCGGCGGGGGUGAUGAAGGUCUUCGGAUCGUAAAACUCUGUAAUUAGGGAAGAACAAAUGUGUAAGUAACUAUGCACGUCUUAACGGUACCAAAUCAGAAAGCCACGGCUAAUUACUU
rnacentral:rRNA from 1 species